UAAAGUGGCGUACGGGUGAGUAACACGUGGAUCAUCUGCCCUAGAGUGGGGAAUAACAAGGGGAAACCUUUGCUAAUACCGCAUAAUCCCGAGAGGGGAAAGCAGCAAUGCGCUCAAGGAGGAGUCCGCGGUCGAUUAGCUAGUUGGUAGGGUAAUGGCCUACCAAGGCUACGAUCGAUAGCCGGCCUGAGAGGGCACACGGCCACACUGGCACUGAAACACGGGCCAG
rnacentral:rRNA from 1 species